rnacentral:rRNA from 1 species
AGAGUUUGAUCAUGGCUCAGGAUGAACGCUAGCGGUGCGCCUAACACAUGCAAGUCGAACGGAGACGGAAGUGACACAGAGUGAUGAAAAACUACCAAUAAGAAUAAUUCAAACAAGAAACACUCUCACGCCUAACUGUGAAAGAAACCUUCAAGAAAACACUUCUCUCAAGUAGCUCUCUUCUCCCUUCUGUGUCACUUUCAAAUCAGUGGCAAACGGGUGAGUAACGAGUUUGUACCUACCCCAAAGUGAGGGAUACCUCCAUGAAAGUGGAGUUAAUACCGCAUAGUCUCGCAAGAGUAAAGCCGCAAGGCGCUUUGGGAGGGGCAUGCUUUCUAUCAGCUAGUUGGUGAGGUAAUAGCUCACCAAGGCAAUGACGGAUAGCUGGAUUGAGAGAUCGGCCAGCCACAAUGGAACUGAGACACGGUCCAUACUCCUACGGGAGGCAGCAGUGAGGAAUCUUCCACAAUGGGCGAAAGCCUGAUGGAGCGACACCGCGUGAAGGAUGAAGCGUUUACUCGUGUAAACUUCUUUUCUGUGGGAAGAUAAUGACG